rnacentral:rRNA from 1 species
CCUACGGGAGACAGCAGUAGGGAAUUUUCGUCAAUGGGCGCAAGCCUGAACGAGCAAUGCCGCGUGAACGAGGAAGGUCUUCGGAUCGUAAAGUUCUGUUGACGGGGAAAAAGAGCGGAGAGAGGAAAUGCUUUCUGAUUGAUAUUACCCUUCGAGGAAGUCACGGCUAACUACGUGCCAGCAGCCGCGGUAAUACGUAGGUGGCGAGCGUUAUCCGGAAUGAUUGGGCGUAAAGGGUGCGUAGGCGGCCUGCUAAGUCUGGAGUGAAAGGUACCGGCUCAACCGGUACAGGCUCUGGAAACUGGGGGGCUAGAGGGGAAGAGAGGGCGGUGGAACUCCAUGUGGAGCGGUAAAAUGCGUAG